rnacentral:rRNA from 1 species
ACUCAAAUGAAUUGACGGGGGCUCACACAAGCGGUGGAGCAUGUGGCUUAAUUCGAAGCAACGCGAAGAACCUUACCCGGGUUUGACAUGCUUGGAUGUUUUCCGGCGAUGAGUUGGAAAAUUACCCGCAAGGGUGAAACAAGCACAGGUGUUGCACGGCUGUCGUCAGCUCGUGCUGUGAAGUGUCGGGUUAAGUCCCUUAACGAGCGAAACCCUUGCCGUCAGUUACCAUCAGGUAAUGCUGGGGACUCUGGCGGGACUGCCGGCGUUAAGCCGGAGGAAGGUGGGGAUGACGUCAAGUCAUCGUGGCCCUUAUGCCCGGGGAUGCACACGUGCUACAAUGGCGACGACAAAGGGCUGCAAGACCGUAAGGUGGAGCAAAUCCCAAAAAAGUCGCCCCAGUUCGGAUUGGAGGCUGCAAUUCGCCUCCAUGAAGUUGGAAUCGCUAGUAAUCGCGCAUCAGCUACGGCGCGGUGAAUGUGUUCCUGAGCCUUGUACACACCGCCCGU